rnacentral:rRNA from 1 species
UACGAAGGGGGCUAGCGUUGUUCGGAAUUACUGGGCGUAAAGCGCACGUAGGCGGAUUGUUAAGUCAGAGGUGAAAUCCCGGAGCUCAACUUCGGAACUGCCUUUGAUACUGGCAAUCUCGAGUCCGGAAGAGGUUAGUGGAAUUCCCAGUGUAGAGGUGAAAUUCGUAGAUAUUGGGAGGAACACCAGUGGCGAAGGCGGCUAACUGGUCCGGUACUGACGCUGAGGUGCGAAAGCCAGGGGAGCAAACAGG